rnacentral:ncRNA from 2 species
CGAUUCCACUGGAAGUGCCAUUGCGAAUGGCUGAGAUUGAAAUGCGAUUUCAAAAUUCCUGAACCUGAUCCAGUUCGUACUGGCGUAGGAAAGUGGCUGAAUUCGUGG